UGGAGGCUACGAUUAGCAUCGUUAGCACCGAUGUAGCUACCACUAGCUUACAUGCUAACCCAAGCCUUACCAUUCAUUACGUAGCUGAUUAAAAUCAUUAUCACAUAAAUAAAGCACUCAAAUUUCACUGACCGCAUUCAUGCACAGUCUAUAUGCCCUGGCUGCAGAACGCGGAAUGGGGCGGGGUCGGAUAAAAGGCGGGGUCGGACGUCCGACCCCGCCUCCGCCCCAUUCCGCGACCCCGCCUUGUGAGUCCACAUUACACAUCAGCUGUUUCCCUACCAAGAAGAAGAAGAAGAAGAAGAAGAAGAAGAAGAAGAAGAAAGAAAAAAAAAAAAGAUAGAAGAACCAUGUGAUCACCUAGUUGGUCUGUUUGUCCGUGUUAUUACAUUUGAAGACGAUCAUACAUCAUCAUUAUCAUGGAAGGGAACGACCGAAGACACCAUACCAUUCUUACUGAGGGAGAAUAACCUGUGCCCCUAAAGUCUGCCGGUUCACCUUUUUAUCAGUGCCCAUUCUGCUCUUAUAAGACUGCAGAAAGGCAUUUGGUGAUUAACCACAUACAAAAUCAUGCAACGGUGAAACAUAAAGGUAAAAGCCAAUGUUAGGGCAUAACUUGAACAACAAACAAAAUGCAUGUGAACAGACAACAUACAUAUGUAUAUAUAGGUACUUUAUUUAUCCCAAAGGAAAGUGAUGCACAAGCAAGGCAGAAAGAUACAUAUUUAAAAUACUAGUAAAGGGUAAAAGUAAACAAGUAGAAAACUGAGGUAUUACCUUUAUACUGGUGUACAGCAGAAAUAGCCUUAAAUAUGCACUGUAAAUAUACUGCAUCUAUAAGCAUAUAAGCACUACAUACAUACAUGUAUUGCUACCAAAAAGAGCUGCAAACUAUUGUUAACUGUCAGCCACUGUCAGUUGCAGCACACAAAGGUUAAAGGUAGCAUAUAAUAGUGUUAAAAUGUGCAACAAAAAGUAAAAGUAGCUCUUUUUUUAGUUUUAGUUUUGGAAAGUAGCUCUCAUCCUAAAAAAGGUUGGAGACUGUUAUAGAACGAUACAUUUGACAAUUUUAAGAUUGAAAAAUGAAGCUUAAGAGGAACAGGUGGGGCUUGAAAAGGCCCACCUGUUCAAAGUGGGGAAUGACAGAAAAAGUUUGAGAACCACUGCUGUAGGAGAAGCACCCCUUUAUAAGUAGUGCUAUGGCGGCAUCUCAGUGGUGCUCUGCAAAGAAUAUGGGAGAUAAAGUCAUCCUGCCACAAAUUCUUUCCAUGGCCCCACUGGACAGAGAAGCAGCUCUCCAUAACCUUGGUGAAGCCAGCAACCUGCGGGACGAAGACAGCUGGGAAGACAGGAUGGACCCAUUUAUGUUCAGGUUCAAAUUUGAGUCGGACUAUUUAAUGUUUUUUGAGCAGUGCAUUGACAAAGAAAACCUUAAGGUUCAUGCCUGUUUUGAAGAGCGCGGUUGAAUGUUUGCAUCAGCAAAGCCUUUCACUGUUGUAUAGAUUUUUUUUUUUUAUACUUGGUUUGGUUUUUAUAUUUACUGUAUUUGCUUUUUCGGUUCUGUUAUCUUAAUGAUUGUUCUGUUAUAUGAUAAAUGUUGUAAAUAAUAAAUACUUUUUCUAUCAUUCUAUGAAA